GAUGAACGCUGGCGGCGUGCCUAAUACAUGCAAGUCGAGCGAACAGACGAGGAGCUUGCUCCUCUGACGUUAGCGGCGGACGGGUGAGUAACACGUGGAUAACCUACCUAUAAGACUGGGAUAACUUCGGGAAACCGGAGCUAAUACCGGAUAAUAUAUUGAACCGCAUGGUUCAAUAGUGAAAGACGGUUUUGCUGUCACUUAUAGAUGGAUCCGCGCCGCAUUAGCUAGUUGGUAAGGUAACGGCUUACCAAGGCGACGAUGCGUAGCCGACCUGAGAGGGUGAUCGGCCACACUGGAACUGAGACACGGUCCAGACUCCUACGGGAGGCAGCUGUAGGGAAUCUUCCGCAAUGGGCGAAAGCUUGACGGAGCAACGCCGCGUGAGUGAUGAAGGUCUUCGGAUCGUAAAACUCUGUUAUUAGGGAAGAACAAAUGUGUAAGUAACUAUGCACGUCUUGACGGUACCUAAUCAGAAAGCCACGGCUAACUACGUG
rnacentral:rRNA from 1 species